rnacentral:lncRNA from 1 species
CUUUUCGAGGUAGGAGUCGACUCCUGUGAGGUAUGGUGCUGGGUGCAGAUGCAGUGUGGCUCUGGAUAGCACCUUAUGGACAGUUGUGUCCCCAAGGAAGGAUGAGAAUAGCUACUGAAGUCCUAAAGAGCAAGCCUAACUCAAGCCAUUGGCACACAGGCAUUAGACAGAAAGCUGGAAGUUGAAAUGGUGGAGUCCAACUUGCCUGGACCAGCUUAAUGGUUCUGCUCCUGGUAACGUUUUUAUCCAUGGAUGACUUGCUUGGGUAAGGACAUGAAGACAGUUCCUGUCAUACCUUUUAAAGGACUCAGAAUUCAUGAUUGAAGAAAUGCAGGCAGACCUGUUAUCCUAAACUAGGGUUUUUAAUGACCACAACAAGCAAGCAUGCAGCUUACUGCUUGAAAGGGUCUUGCCUCACCCAAGCUAGAGUGCAGUGGCCUUUGAAGCUUACUACAGCCUCAAACUUCUGGGCUCAAGUGAUCCUCAGCCUCCCAGUGGUCUUUGUAGACUGCCUGAUGGAGUCUCAUGGCACAAGAAGAUUAAAACAGUGUCUCCAAUUUUAAUAAAUUUUUGCAAUCCA